rnacentral:misc_RNA from 1 species
UUUCCGUAGGUGAACCUGCGGAAGGAUCAUUAAAGUUAUAUUCACCCGACCCUCCUUUCUGAGGUCUUCUAUCCCUCCCUUUGGUUAUUACACCUUUGUUGCUUUCCCAGCCCUACCCUCGGGCUGCUUGCUCCGACCGGCUCGUAUCUGCCAGAGGACCUAGACUCUUUUUAUAACUUUAGUCUAAGUACUACUUAAUAGUAAAAACUUUCAACAACGGAUCACUUGGUUCUAGCACCCAUGAAAAAUGCAGCAAAUCACAUGAGAACACGUCUGAAC